rnacentral:piRNA from 1 species
UNGCCUCUGUCACUACAGCUGUCCGG